rnacentral:rRNA from 1 species
UACGGAGGGCGCGAUCGUUACCCGGAUUUACUGGGCGUAAAGGGCGUGUAGGCGGCUUGGGGCGUCCCAUGUGAAAGGCCACGGCUCAACCGUGGAGGAGCGUGGGAUACGCUUAGGCUAGACGGUGGGAGAGGGUGGUGGAAUUCCCGGAGUAGCGGGGAAAUGCGCAGAUACCGGGAGGAACGCUGGUGGCGAAGGGAGCCACCUGGCUCACUGGUGGCGCUGAGGCGCGAAAGCGUGGGGAGCAAACCGG